GAGGGUGAUCGGCCACAUUGGAACUGAGACACGGUCCAAACUCCUACGGGAGGCAGCAGUGGGGAAUAUUGCACAAUGGGCGAAAGCCUGAUGCAGCAACGCCGCGUGAGUGAUGAAGGCCUUCGGGUCGUAAAACUCUGUCCUCAAGGAAGAUAAUGACGGUACUUGAGGAGGAAGCCCCGGCUAACUACGUGCCAGCAGCCGCGGUAAUACGUAGGGGGCUAGCGUUAUCCGGAUUUACUGGGCGUAAAGGGUGCGUAGGCGGUCUUUCAAGUCAGGAGUGAAAGGCUACGGCUCAACCGUAGUAAGCUCUUGAAACUGGGAGACUUGAGUGCAGGAGAGGAGAGUGGAAUUCCUAGUGUAGCGGUGAAAUGCGUAGAUAUUAGGAGGAACACCAGUUGCGAAGGCGGCUCUCUGGACUGUAACUGACGCUGAGGCACGAAAGCGUGGGGAGCAAACAGGAUUAGAUACCCUGGUAGUCCACGCUGUAAACGAUGAGUACUAGGUGUCGGGGGUUACCCCCCUCGGUGCCGCAGCUAACGCAUUAAGUACUCCGCCUGGGAAGUACGCUCGCAAGAGUGAAACGCAAAGGAAUUGACGGGGACCCG
rnacentral:rRNA from 1 species